GACGGAGGGUGCUAGCGUUGUUCGGAAUGACUGGGCGUAAAGGGCGCGUAGGUGGCCCGGUCAGUUCGUGGUGAAAGCGCGGGGCUCAACCCUGCGUCGGCCAUGAAUACUGCCGCGGCUGGAGCACUGUAGAGGCAGGCGGAAUUCCGGGUGUAGCGGUGGAAUGCGUAGAGAUCCGGAAGAACACCGGUGGCGAAGGCGGCCUGCUGGGCAGUUGCUGACACUGAGGCGCGACAGCGUGGGGAGCAAACAGG
rnacentral:rRNA from 1 species